rnacentral:rRNA from 1 species
UACGUAGGCAGCGAGCGUUGUUCGGAGUUACUGGGCGUAAAGGGUGUGUAGGCGGUUGUUUAAGUUUGGUGUGAAAUCUCCCGGCUCAACUGGGAGGGUGCGCCGAAUACUGAAUGACUAGAGUGCGGGAGAGGAAAGUGGAAUUCCUGGUGUAGCGGUGAAAUGCGUAGAUAUCAGGAGGAACACCGGUGGUGUAGACGGCUUUCUGGACCGCAACUGACGCUGAGACGCGAAAGCGUGGGGAGCAAACAGG